GACGAACGCUGGCGGCGUGCUUAACACAUGCAAGUCGAACGGACAGGCCCUGCUUUUGUGGGGUGCUCGAGUGGCGAACGGGUGAGUAACACGUGAGUAACCUGCCCUUGACUUUGGGAUAACUUCUGGAAACUGGGGCUAAUACCGGAUAGGAGCUCCUGCUGCAUGGUGGGCGUUGGAAAGUUUCGGCGGUGGGGGAUGUACUCGCGGCUUAUCAGCUUGUUGGUGGGGUAGUGGCUUACCAAGUCUUUGACGGGUAGCCAGCCUGAGAGGGUGACCGGGCUCAGUGGGACUGAGAGUGGGCCCAGACUCAGACGGGAGGCAGCGGUGGGAAAUAUGACACAAUGAGAGGAAGCGUGAGCCAGCAACGCCGCGGGCGGGAUGAUGGCCUACGGGUUGGAAACCGAUUUCGCCUUUAACGAAGCGGGUGUGACGGUAAUGGGUAAAAAAGCACCGGCUAACUACGUG
rnacentral:rRNA from 1 species